rnacentral:rRNA from 1 species
ACUCAAAUGAAUUGACGGGGACCCGCACAAGCAGUGGAGUAUGUGGUUUAAUUCGAAGCAACGCGAAGAACCUUACCAGGUCUUGACAUCCCUCUGAACAUACUAGAGAUAGUAUGGGCCUUCGGGACAGAGGAGACAGGUGGUGCAUGGUUGUCGUCAGCUCGUGUCGUGAGAUGUUGGGUUAAGUCCCGCAACGAGCGCAACCCUUGAUCUUAGUUGCCAGCACUUCGGGUGGGCACUCUAAGAUGACUGCCGGUGACAAACCGGAGGAAGGCGGGGAUGACGUCAAAUCAUCAUGCCCCUUAUGACCUGGGCUACACACGUACUACAAUGGCCGGUACAACGGGCAGCAAAGGGGCGACCUGGAGCGAAUCCUUAAAAGCCGGUCUCAGUUCGGAUUGCAGGCUGCAACUCGCCUGCAUGAAGUCGGAAUUGCUAGUAAUCGCGGAUCAGCAUGCCGCGGUGAAUACGUUCCCGGGUCUUGUACACACCGCCCGU